rnacentral:rRNA from 1 species
GACGAACGCUGGCGGCGCGCCUAACACAUGCAAGUCGAGCGCGAACCAGGGCUUCGGCCCUGGGGAAAGCGGCGAACGGGUGAGUAACACGUGGGCAACCUGCCCUCAGCACCGGGAUAGCCCGGGGAAACCCGGAUUAAUACCGGAUGGCCUCACGAGCCCUCGGGCCUGUGAGAAAAGGUGGCUUCGGCUUCCGGCUGAGGAUGGGCCCGCGGCCGAUUAGCUUGUUGGUGGGGUAACGGCUCACCAAGGCGA